UACGUAGGUGGCAAGCGUUGUCCGGAUUUACUGGGUGUAAAGGGCGCGUAGGCGGGGUGGCAAGUCAGAUGUGAAAUGCAGGGGCUCAACUCCUGAACUGCAUUUGAAACUGUCGCUCUUGAGUAUCGGAGAGGCAAGCGGAAUUCCUAGUGUAGCGGUGAAAUGCGUAGAUAUUAGGAGGAACACCAGUGGCGAAGGCGGCUUGCUGGACGACAACUGACGCUGAGGCGCGAAAGCGUGGGGAGCAAAC
rnacentral:rRNA from 1 species